rnacentral:piRNA from 1 species
UGUUUAUACUGUGGUGUUUCUCUUGGCAG